GAUCAUGGCUCAGGAUGAACGCUAGCUACAGGCUUAACACAUGCAAGUCGAGGGGCAGCAUGGUCUUAGCUUGCUAAGACUGAUGGCGACCGGCGCACGGGUGAGUAACACGUAUCCAACCUGCCGUCUACUCUUGGGACAGCCUUCUGAAAGGAAGAUUAAUACAAGAUGGCAUCAUGAGUCCGCAUGUUCACAUGGAUUAAAGGGUAUUCCGGUAGACGA
rnacentral:rRNA from 1 species